GGCUAGGACAAUGGCGGGCUAGUGAAUUGUGUCAGAUCCGGAAGGAAGCAAGCACUAAGCAAGUGCCGCCAUGUGUCUGAUUGAAU
rnacentral:SRP_RNA from 1 species